AAGGAGGCUCGGGUAUGUUUCCCGAGCUGACAUGACUCACACUCUAAUAUGGAUAAACUAGAGAAACUAGGUACCAUCUUCUGAAGCUUGGAUAAUCUUGGAUGUCCUAAACGUCUGUGAAUUAGGUCCAAAGGAUUUGUAACUAGACAUGCCUUGGAGGAUUUUAGCGAGUUAAGGUAGUAAAGGCCUUCUGAUUCAAG
rnacentral:lncRNA from 1 species